AAUUUUUUUGAUACUAAAUAUAAAGACCCAAACCACUUAGGGCAUGUUUGGUUCACCUAUUUUAGACUAUGGAAUCAGAAUGGAAUUAAUUGAUUCCGAUAGUUGUUGUUUGUUUUAUAGGAAUUGGAUUCCGAUUCCUAUUCCACUCCGGAAUGGGAAUGGCCAAAUCUAUUUAUGAUCCAAUCCGGCUUUAAAUCCCGAAUUGGCUCAUUCCAAAGCAAACUAUUCAAAAUUCUCUUUUACCAACACCCACCUCCUCUUCCUUCGUCACUCUCCUCUAUCUUAAAUCAAAAUCCUGUCUCAACAAUUUUAAAUUUUCAUUUCGAUUUCCAUUCUAAUAAUGAACUAAACAUUUUUGAAUGAUUCGUCAUUCCAUUUUCUAUUCCAAAACAAUCCAAUUCAAUUUCUCAUUCCCAUUCCAAACAUGAACCAAACAUGCCCUUAUAGUUGUUGAUUU
rnacentral:lncRNA from 1 species